GUCCGUAGGUGAACCUGCGGAAGGAUCAUUACCGAACUGUCAACACGAGUUGUUGCUGGUCCUCGUAUGGGGGCAUGUGCACGCUCUGUUCACACAUCCAUUUACACCUGUGCACCACUGUAGUUCCAUGGCCUGGGGGACUCUGUCCUCUUGCCGUGGUUCUAUGUCUUUACAUACGUACCGUAAUAAAGUUUCAUGGAAUGCAUGACGCGUCUAACGCAAUACAAUACAACUUUCAGCAACGGAUCUCUUGGCUCUCGCAUCGAUGAAGAACGCAGCGAAAUGCGAUACGUAAUGUGAAUUGCAGAAUUCAGUGAAUCAUCGAAUCUUUGAACGCACCUUGCGCCCCUUGGCAUUCCGAGGGGCACACCCGUUUGAGUGUCGUGAACAUCCUCAACUUGCUUGGUUUUUAUUGAACCAAGUAGGCUUGGAAUUUGGAGGUUUUCUGCUGGCCUCCUCCGAAGCCAGCUCCUCUUAAAUCUAUUAGUGGGAUCCGCUUUGCUAGAUCCUCGACGUUGAUAAGAUGUUUCUACGUCUUGGGUUUCGCUCGGGAAAGGACCUGCUUCUAACCGUCCCAUCGGGGACAAUGUUCGAGCCAAUCGCCCUUCACGGGGUGGGAAGCUUUUUCGACCCAUGAAACCUUGACCUCAA
rnacentral:rRNA from 1 species